UAGGGAAUCUUCCACAAUGGACGCAAGUCUGAUGGAGCAACGCCGCGUGAGUGAAGAAGGCUUUCGGGUCGUAAAACUCUGUUAUUGAAGAAGAACGUGUGUGACAGUAACUGGUCAUGCAGUGACGGUAUUCAAUCAGAAAGUCACGGCUAACUACGUGCCAGCAGCCGCGGUAAUACGUAGGUGGCAAGCGUUGUCCGGAUUUAUUGGGCGUAAAGCGAGUGCAGGCGGUCUUUUAAGUCUGAUGUGAAAGCCUUCGGCUUAACCGAAGAAGGGCAUCGGAAACUGGGAGACUUGAGUGCA
rnacentral:rRNA from 1 species